rnacentral:rRNA from 1 species
AUUGAACGCUGGCGGCAGGCCUAACACAUGCAAGUCGAACGAGUGGCGGACGGGUGAGUAAUGUCUGGGAAACUGACCGAUGGAGGGGGAUAACUAGUGGAAACGGUAGCUAAUACCGCAUACCAUCGGAUGUGCACAGAUGGGAUUAGCUCGUAGGUGGGGUAAAGGCUCACCUAGGCGACGAUCCCUAGCUGGUCUGAGAGGAUGACCAGCCACACUGGAACUGAUACACGGUCCAGACUCCUACGUGAGGCAGCAGUGGGGAAUAUUUCACAAUGGGCGCAAGCCUGAUGCAGCCAUGCCGAGUGUAUGAAGAAGGCCUUCGGGUUGUAAAGUACUUUCAGCGAGGAGGCGUUACUCGCAGAAGAAGCACCGGCUAACUCCGUGCCAGCAGCCGCGGUAAUAC